rnacentral:rRNA from 1 species
UACGUAGGGUGCAAGCGUUGUCCGGAAUUAUUGGGCGUAAAGAGCUCGUAGGCGGUCUGUCGCGUCGGCUGUGAAAACUCGGGGCUCAACCCCGAGCCUGCAGUCGAUACGGGCAGACUAGAGUGCUGUAGGGGAGACUGGAAUUCCUGGUGUAGCGGUGAAAUGCGCAGAUAUCAGGAGGAACACCGGUGGCGAAGGCGGGUCUCUGGGCAGUAACUGACGCUGAGGAGCGAAAGCGUGGGGGAGCGAACAGG